rnacentral:rRNA from 1 species
UACGAAGGGGGCUAGCGUUGUUCGGAAUUACUGGGCGUAAAGGGCGCGUAGGCGGCGUGUCAAGUCAGGCGUGAAAGCCCCGGGCUCAACCUGGGAACCGCGCUUGAGACUGGCAUGCUCGAGUUCGGGAGAGGAUGGUGGAAUUCCCAGUGUAGAGGUGAAAUUCGUAGAUAUUGGGAAGAACACCGAUGGCGAAGGCAGCCAUCUGGACCGACACUGACGUUGAGGCGCGAAAGCGUGGGGAGUAAACAGG